CACGUAGGCACCAAGCGUUGUCCGGAUUUAUUGGGCGUAAAGAGCUUGUAGGCGGUUCGGUUAGUCGGGUGUGAAACCUCUGGGCUCAACUCAGAGACGCCACCCGAUACUGCUGUGACUAGAGUGCGGUAGGGGAGCGGGGAAUUCCUGGUGUAGCGGUGAAAUGCGCAGAUAUCAGGAGGAACACCAGUGGCGAAGGCGCCGCUCUGGGCCGUAACUGACGCUGAGAAGCGAAAGCGUGGGGAGCAAACAGGAUUAGAUACCCUGGUAGUCCACGCCGUAAACGUUGGGCACUAGGUGUGGGUCUCAACCAACGAGAUCCGCGCCGUCGCUAACGCAUUAAGUGCCCCGCCUGGGGAGUACGGCCGCAAGGCUAAA
rnacentral:rRNA from 1 species